rnacentral:rRNA from 1 species
AGAGACAGCAGCAGCCACGGGAAUACGGAGGGUGCAAGCGUUAAUCGGAAUUACUGGGCGUAAAGCGUGCGUAGGCGGUGAGUUAAGUCUGCUGUGAAAUCCCCGGGCUCAACCUGGGAAUGGCAGUGGAUACUGGCUCGCUAGAGUGUGUCAGAGGAUGGUGGAAUUCCCGGUGUAGCGGUGAAAUGCGUAGAGAUCGGGAGGAACAUCAGUGGCGAAGGCGGCCAUCUGGGACAACACUGACGCUGAGGCACGAAAGCGUGGGGAGCAAACAGGAUUAGAUACCCCUGUAGUCCCUGUCUCUUAUAC